rnacentral:rRNA from 1 species
GACGAACGCUGGCGGCGUGCCUAAUACAUGCAAGUCGAGCGCAGGAAAUCGACGGAACCCUUCGGGGGGAAGUCGAUGGAAUGAGCGGCGGACGGGUGAGUAACACGUAAAGAACCUGCCCUCAGGUCUGGGAUAACCACGAGAAAUCGGGGCUAAUACCGGAUGGGUCAUCGGACCGCAUGGUCCGAGGAUGAAAGGCGCUCCGGCGCCGCCUGGGGAUGGCUUUGCGGUGCAUUAGCUAGUUGGUGGGGUAAUGGCCCACCAAGGCGACGAUGCAUAGCCGACCUGAGAGGGUGAUCGGCCACACUGGGACUGAGACACGGCCCAGACUCCUACGGGAGGCAGCAGUAGGGAAUCUUCCACAAUGGACGAAAGUCUGAUGGAGCAACGCCGCGUGAACGAUGAAGGCCUUCGGGUCGUAAAGUUCUGUUGUAAGGGAAGAACAAGUGCCGCAGGCAAUGGCGGCACCUUGACGGUACCUUGCGAGAAAGCCACGGCUAACUACGUGCCAGCCGCCGCCGUAAAAC